rnacentral:rRNA from 1 species
AUGGCGACCGCCGGGAAGGUGAUCAAGUGCAAAGCGGCGGUGGCGUGGGAGGCCGGGAAGCCGCUGUCUAUGGAGGAGGUGGAGGUGGCGCCGCCGCAGGCCAUGGAGGUGCGCGUCAAGAUCCUCUACACCGCGCUCUGCCACACUGACGUCUACUUCUGGGAGGCCAAGGGCCAAACUCCGGUUUUCCCUAGGAUCUUGGGCCAUGAAGCUGGAGGCAUUGUGGAGAGUGUUGGUGAGGGCGUGACUGAGCUGGUGCCGGGAGACCAUGUCCUCCCGGUGUUCACCGGAGAGUGCAAGGAGUGUGCCCACUGCAGGUCAGAGGAGAGCAACCUCUGUGACCUCCUCAGGAUCAAUGUCGACCGCGGUGUCAUGAUCGGCGACGGGCAGUCCCGCUUCACCAUCGACGGCAAACCGAUCUUCCACUUUGUUGGGACGUCCACCUUCAGCGAGUACACCGUGAUCCAUGUCGGGUGCCUCGCCAAGAUCGACCCCGAGGCGCCCCUCGACAAAGUCUGCCUCCUUAGCUGCGGUAUCUCAACCGGGCUAGGUGCCACCCUCAACGUCGCCAAGCCGAAGAAGGGUAUGACAGUGGCGAUUUUUGGUCUUGGAGCUGUGGGUCUCGCUGCCAUGGAAGGGGCCAGGAUGUCCGGCGCAUCGAGGAUUAUCGGUGUGGACUUGAACCCUGCGAAACACGAACAAGCUAAGAAAUUUGGCUGCACCGACUUUGUGAACCCCAAGGACCACACCAAGCCAGUGCAAGAGGUGAUCGUGGAGAUGACCGAUGGCGGAGUCGACCGGGCGGUGGAGUGCACGGGCAACGCCGACGCCAUGAUCUCCGCCUUCGAAUGCGUGCACGAUGGGUGGGGGGUGGCGGUGCUGGUGGGCGUGGCGCACAAGGAGGCGGUGUUCAAGACCCACCCCAUGAACUUCCUCAACGAGAGGACGCUGAGGGGCCUCCCCGGCGUGGUGGACAUGUACAUGAGGAAGGAGCUGGAGCUGGACAAGUUCAUCACCCACAGCGUGCCCUUCUCGCAGAUCAACACGGCCUUCGACCUCAUGCUCAAGGGGGAAGGCCUGCGCUGCGUCAUCAGGAUGGAGGAGUAG